rnacentral:rRNA from 1 species
CGCGUAGGCGGCCUGCUAAGUCGAACGUGAAAUCCCUGGGCUCAACCCAGGAACUGCGUCCGAUACUGGAAGGCUUGAAUCCGGGAGAGGGAUGCGGAAUUCCAGGUGUAGCGGUGAAAUGCGUAGAUAUCUGGAGGAACACCGGUGGCGAAGGCGGCAUCCUGGACCGGCAUUGACGCUGAGGCGCGAAAGCUAGGGAGCAAACG